rnacentral:rRNA from 1 species
GGCUAACUACGUGCCAGCAGCCGCGGUAAUACGUAGGGUGCAAGCGUGUCCGGGAAUUAUUGGGCGUAAAGAGCUCGUAGGCGGUUUGUCGCGUCUGCUGUGAAAACCCGAGGCUCAACCUCGGGCUGCAGUGGGUACGGGCAGACUAGAGUGCGGUAGGGGAGAAUGGAAUUCCUGGUGUAGCGGUGGAAUGCGCAGAUAUCAGGAGGAACACCGAUGGCGAAGGCAGUUCUCUGGGCCGUUACUGACGCUGAGGAGCGAAAGCGUGGGGAGCGAACAGGAUUAGAUACCCUGGUAGUCCACGCCGUAAACGUUGGGAACUAGAUGUGGGGACCUUUCCACGGUCUCCGUGUCGCAGCUAACGCAUUAAGUUCCCCGCCUGGGGAGUACGGCCGCAAGGCUAAAACUCAAAGGAAUUGACGGGGGCCCGCACAAGCGGCGGAGCAUGCGGAUUAAUUCGAUGCAACGCGAAGAACCUUACCAAGGCUUGACAUAUACCGGAAACUUCCAGAAAUGGUUGCCCCGCAAGGUCGGUAUACAGGUGGUGCAUGGUUGUCGUCAGCUCGUGUCGUGAGAUGUUGGGUUAAGUCCCGCAACGAGCGCAACCCUCGUUCUAUGUUGCCAGCACGUCAUGGUGGGAACUCAUAGGAGACUGCCGGGGUCAACUCGGAGGAAGGUGGGGAUGACGUCAAAUCAUCAUGCCCCUUAUGUCUUGGGCUUCACGCAUGCUACAAUGGCCGGUACAAAGGGCUGCGAUACCGUAAGGUGGAGCGAAUCCCAAAAAGCCGGUCUCAGUUCGGAUUGAGGUCUGCAACUCGACCUCAUGAAGUCGGAGUCGUUAGUAAUCGCAGAUCAGCAACG